rnacentral:tRNA from 1 species
GAGUGGGUGGCUCAGUGGUUAGAGCCUAGGGCUCAUAACCGAAAGGUUACGAGUUUGAACCUCACAAGAAGCA